UAUGAUAAGUUUAGGUCGCUUUUGCGCGGA
rnacentral:sRNA from 1 species